AAACCAGUACAUUACACUUACAACAGUUACUGAGUCUAGAACUUGGAUCCUUGUUGUCUGUACUAUUAAAUCUGUUCUCAUUGUGUUGGCCAACUCUUUAAAGUGAUGGACCCUUGAAAUCAUCUGAGCUGCCGUUCUGUAACUGCUGUUAUAAAGGAAUCAGCAAACACAAAGAGACAAAAGACUGCCCACCUCCAUCUGGACCAACAUGCUGCUGCCAGACUGUGAAGAGGAGGAGGUGGAACUGAGAGAAGAGAAAAUACAGAUGUGAGAGGAGACGGAGAGAUUCAGGGAGGAGCUGAGCUGUUACUGAACUAUAGAAGAGAGAGGAACUUCCAUAUUCAGCAGAGUUCAACAUACAAACCAUCAACAUUACCUUGAUUCAACAUGCUGUCACUGCAUCAUUCUGUAGUUUCUCUACUGCUUCUCUACACUCUAACAGACAUCAGCUGUGGAGAACUCACACCAGUAAAGACUGAAGAGUUCAGUGUAGAAGGCAGAACUGUGACUCUGUCCUGCAACGACACCAAACUGUCAUCAAGUGAUUAUUUCUUCUGGUAUCGACAACAUCCAGGAAAACCUCCAGAGUUCCUCAUCUCACACUCUGCUUCAGGAGAAGUAACUGCUCCAACAUCUGGACUGAUGAUUAAAGUGGAGCAAAACCAAAUCAACAUGAUCAUCUCCUCUGCUGCAGUGUCUGACUCUGCUGUGUACUACUGUGCUGUGAAGCCCACAGUGACAGGAAACAACACAACUCUGUACAAAAACCUCUGCAGCAAACAAGUCAAUACUCCACAUGGUCCACUAGAGGGAGUCACACCCUGUCACACCUCAGUGUUUCUCUUCAUCCAGAUUCUUCUUGGUGAAGAUUCACACCAGAGAGAAUGAACAACUAAAGCCGUGAUUUUUUUGGGGUGUACCACAGGGUUCAAUCCUGGGUCCUCUCAUGUUCUGUUAUAAAAUACAUCAAAGUCCAGUAAUUAUGGCAGAAGGAUUGUUUGAAGUCUUACUGUCACAGUCAGCUCACCUUUAUGCCCAGUAGGUUCCCACGUCACCUCCCCUCUGUCCCGCACGAGCAAUCAGCUACACCCACCUCAGCACCUCACCUAGCUCCGCAGCUUCAGCUCAUCACCAAUCCGGUCCAUAUAUAACCUCCUCUCACUCAUUCACUCACCGCCAGAUUGUUCUUAGUACUAUAUGUCAGACUUUCCAGCGAUAUCCCACGGACGGAUCUCCCGGUAUCGAAUCUGGUUCUGCCCCCGACUUCCCCGUAUCGUCUCAGCCCUGGUUAAGACCCUGCCUUUGUCCCUGGUUUCCCCACUUGGCCUGAACCCCGAAGAAGACCUCUGCCUGCUGCCCCCGACCUUCCCGUCUCGCCUUGAUCCCGGUAAAGACCUCGGUCUUCUGCCCCGACUCCGAGCCUUGCCUGUGUACUGACGAUUUCCUGGUUGGUGUCAUCCACCGGGACAGUUUCAUUGGCGUUGUCUGCCCGCCGGCAGUUUGUGAACAAUAAAGCUGAUUACCAACAUAGCUAUGUGUGUGUUGCGCUUGGGUCUAAACCAGUACAUUACACUUACAACAGUUACUGAGUCUAGAACUUGGAUCCUUGUUGUCUGUACUAUUAAAUCUGUUCUCAUUGUGUUGGCCAACUCUUUAAAGUGAUGGACCCUUGAAAUCAUCUGAGCUGCCGUUCUGUAACUGCUGUUAUAAAGGAAUCAGCAAACACAAAGAGACAAAAGACUGCCCACCUCCAUUUGGACCAACAUGCUGCUGCCAGACUGUGAAGAGGAGGAGGUGGAACUGAGAGAAGAGAAAAUACAGAUGUGAGAGGAGACGGAGAGAUUCAGGGAGGAGCUGAGCUGUUACUGAACUAUAGACGAGAGAGGAACUUCCAUAUUCAGCAGAGUUCAACAUACAAACCAUCUACAUUACCUU